UACAGAGGGGGCAAGCGUUGUUCGGAAUUACUGGGCGUAAAGGGCGCGUGGGCGGCCCUCUAAGUCAGACGUGAAAUCCCUCGGCUCAACCGGGGAACUGCGUCUGAGACUGGAAGGCUUGAAUUCGGGAGAGGGAUGUGGAAUUCCAGGUGUAGCGGUGAAAUGCGUAGAUAUCUGGAGGAACACCGGUGGCGAAGGCGGCAUCCUGGACCGAGAUUGACGCUGAUGCGCGAAAGCCAGGGGAGCAAACGGG
rnacentral:rRNA from 1 species